rnacentral:rRNA from 1 species
UACGGUAGGGUGCAAGCGUUGUCCGGAAUUAUUGGGCGUAAAGAGCUCGUAGGCGGUCUGUCGCGUCUGCUGUGAAAACUCGGGGCUUAACCCCGGGCCUGCAGUGGGUACGGGCAGACUAGAGUGCGGUAGGGGAGACUGGAAUUCCUGGUGUAGCGGUGAAAUGCGCAGAUAUCGGGAAGAACACCCGUGGCGAAGGCGGUUCUCUGGGACGGUACUGACGCUGAGACGCGAAAGCGUGGGGAGCGAACAGG